GACGAACGCUGGCGGCGUGCCUAAUACAUGCAAGUUGAGCGCUGAAGGUUGGUACUUGUACCAACUGGAUGAGCAGCGAACGGGUGAGUAACGCGUGGGGAAUCUGCCUUUGAGCGGGGGACAACAUUUGGAAACGAAUGCUAAUACCGCAUAAAAACUUUAAACACAAGUUUUAAGUUUGAAAGAUGCAAUUGCAUCACUCAAAGAUGAUCCCGCGUUGUAUUAGCUAGUUGGUGAGGUAAAGGCUCACCAAGGCGAUGAUACAUAGCCGACCUGAGAGGGUGGUCGGCCACAUUGGGACUGGGACACGGCCCAAACUCCUACGGGAGGCAGCAGUAGGGAAUCUUCGGCAAUGGACGAAAGUCUGACCGAGCAACGCCGCGUGAGUGAAGAAGGUUUUCGGAUCGUAAAACUCUGUUGGUAGAGAAGAACGUUGGUGAGAGUGGAAAGCUCAUCAAGUGACGGUAACUACCCAGAAAGGGACGGCUAACUACGUG
rnacentral:rRNA from 1 species